rnacentral:rRNA from 1 species
AUUGAACGCUGGCGGCAUGUUUACAUGCAAGUCGAACGGUAACAGGUUAAGCUGACGAGUGGCGAACGGGUGAGUAAUAUAUCGGAACGUGCCCAGUAGUGGGGGAUAGCCCGGCGAAAGCCGGAUUAAUACCGCAUACGACCUACGGGUGAAAGCAGGGGAUCGCAAGACCUUGCGCUAUUGGAGCGGCCGAUAUCAGAUUAGCUAGUUGGUGGGGUAAAAGCUCACCAAGGCGACGAUCUGUAGCUGGUCUGAGAGGACGACCAGCCACACUGGGACUGAGACACGGCCCAGACUCCUACGGGAGGCAGCAGUGGGGAAUUUUGGACAAUGGACGCAAGUCUGAUCCAGCCAUGCCGCGUGCGGGAAGAAGGCCUUCGGGUUGUAAACCGCUUUUGUCAGGGAAGAAAAGUUUGGGGUUAAUACCCUCGGACGAUGACGGUACCUGAAGAAUAAGCACCGGCUAACUACGUGCCAGCAGCCGCGGUAAUACGUAGGGUGCAAGCGUUAAUCGGAAUUACUGGGCGUAAAGCGUGCGCAGGCGGUUCUAUAAGACAGAUGUGAAAUCCCCGGGCUCAACCUGGGAACUGCAUUUGUGACCGUAGAGCUGGAGUACGGCAGAGGGGGAUGGAAUUCCGCGUGUAGCAGUGAAAUGCGUAGAUAUGCGGAGGAACACCAAUGGCGAAGGCAAUCCCCUGGGCCUGUACUGACGCUCAUGCACG